rnacentral:misc_RNA from 1 species
GAUGAAGAACGUAGCGAAAUGCGAUAAGUAGUGUGAAUUGCAGAAUUCAGUGAAUCAUCGAAUCUUUGAACGCACAUUGCGCCCCUUGGUAUUCCAUGGGGCAUGCCUGUUCGAGCGUCAUUUGUACCUUCAAGCUCUGCUUGGUGUUGGGUGUUUGUCUCGCCUCUGCGUGUAGACUCGCCUCAAAACAAUUGGCAGCCGGCGUAUUGAUUUCGGAGCGCAGUACAUCUCGCGCUUUGCACUCAUAACGACGACGUCCAAAAGUACAUUUUUACACUCUUAACCUCGGAUCAGGUAGGGAUACCCGCUGAACUUAAGCAUAUCAAUAAGCGGAGGA